rnacentral:rRNA from 1 species
AGAGUUUGAUCAUGGCUCAGAUUGAACGCUGGCGGCACGCUUAACACAUGCAAGUCGAGCGGUAACAGGUGAUGUAGCAAUACAUUAUGCUGACGAGCGGCGGACGGGUGCGUAAUACGUAGGAACCUACCCUUUAGAGUGGGACAACCUGGGGAAACUCGGGCUAAUACCGCAUAAUCUCGCAAGAGGAAACGCCGCAGCAAUGCGGUGGCUGAAGGAGGGGCUUACGUCCGAUUAGCUAGUUGGUGGGGUAAAGGCUUACCAAGGCGAUGAUCGGUAGCUGGUCUGAGAGGACGACCAGCCACACUGGGACUGAGACACGGCCCAGACUCCUACGGGAGGCAGCAGUGGGGAAUCUUGGACAAUGGGGGCAACCCUGAUCCAGCGAUGCCGCGUGGGUGAAGAAGGCCUUCGGGUUGUAAAGCCCUUUAGGCCGGGAGGAAGGUAGAUAGCUGAAUAAGUUAUUUGCUUGACUGUACCGGCAGAAUAAGCACCGGCUAACUCUGUGCCAGCAGCCGCGGUAAUACAGAGGGUGCGAGCGUUAAUCGGAAUUACUGGGCGUAAAGGGCGCGUAGGUGGUAGCGUGUGAGUGAUGUGAAAGCCCCGGGCUUAACCUGGGAAGAGCAUCGCUAACUGCGCAACUAGAGUACAGCAGAGGGUGGCGGAAUUUCCGGUGUAGCGGUGAAAUGCGUAGAGAUCGGAAGGAACGUCGGUGGCGAAGGCGGCCACCUGGGCUGAUACUGACACUGAGGCGCGAGAGCGUGGGGAGCGAACAGGAUUAGAUACCCUAGUAGUCC